ensembl:lncRNA
AAAAAAAAAAAAAAACCCGAGAGAGAAAGAGAAGAGGGAGAAAAAAGAAAAAAAAGAUAGAAGAAAUUAAAUCAACAGAGAAGAAAAGAGUAAAUGGAGAAAAAAAAGUACAGAAAAGAAGAAAAAAAACAGAAAAAGAGGAAAAAAUUAAAAGGAGAGUAAAAGAGGAGAAAGAGAGAGAGAUAAAUGAGAAGGAGCAAAGAAAGAAAGAAGAAAUGAGAGACUCAAAAGAGAGAAAAUAGAGAAAGAAAACCAAGCAAAUAAAGAAAAGCAAAGGAAGAAAAGCAAAGAAAAGGGAAAGAAAAAAAAAAGACAAAGGGAAAAAAGAAAGAAAGAGAAGCAAAGAAAAAAAAAUAACUAAAAGGAAAGCAAAGACAGAGAGAGAAAGAAGAGCAAAUAAAUAGGGAAGAGCAAAGAGAGGGGAGGCGAACGAGGUGCACAAGGACGGAGCCGAGGCGUGCUCACUCUGAAGCUGAAGGAAUACCACAGGAACCCUUCCACACAGUUUUCAACUUUACAAAGAAGAAUCCUUGACCAAACUCAGUUUAUCCUACCUUGUCAUAUCUCAAUAUUCAUUGGAAUAUCUAUUUAUGUAUACAUUAUAUAUAUAUAUAUAUAUUCACUUAGUAAAUGUAGAUAUGUAUGUCUAUAAUUUCAAUUUAUUAAAAUAUAUUUCUAAGGGCUUCUAGGGAAAAAAAAAAAAAAAAAAAAGCCCAAAUUUAACAUCAAGCUGUCCCACUAUGAUAAAUUGUUUUAGCAGUACCAUAGCAGUUGCUGGUAAGUGGUAAACUGAACUGAAUUAGAUGCUUUUUUUUGUUUAGCCUCUCACACUUUUCUUUCAGUGUCUCAUAGGAAUCACACUAGUAAUUGCCAUGAGUUAUAAGCUAAUACAAUUGAGGAAGACCAGGAUCUCUAAGGCUUAGUGACCAAUUGCUGCGAUAAAGAAUCACAGUUUCACGUGGCAGAAUAUAUCACAGAAUACCAGAACAGUUGAGGUUGUAUGGGACCUCUGAUUUUAUCUGCUACAUCUUCAAGCAGGACACUCAGAGCAGGAUGCCCAGACUCAUGACCUGGCCACUUUUGAAGGUAUCCAAGGAGAAGACUCUACCACCUCUGGGCAACCUGUGCCAGUGCUCCAUCAACCACACAGCACAGAAGUGCUUCCUGAUGAUUGUAUGGAACUUCCUGUGUCCAUCUUUGGGCUCAGUGCCUCUUGUUCUGGCCCUGGACAUCUCUGAGGACAGCCUGGCUCCAACUUCUUUGUGGCCUUCCUUCAGGUAUUUGUAUGCACUGAUGAGAUCUUCCUGAGUCUCCUCCUCUCCAGGCUGAAGAGUUCCAGCUCUCUCAGAGGAAAGGUGCUCCAAUCUUGUCAUUAUCUUGGUGGUCCUAUAUUAGACUCUUUCUAGUAUGUCCACAUCUCUGGUGCUGGGGAGCCCAGAACUGGACACACUACUCCACGUGCAGCCUCAUCAAUACUGAGCAAAGGGGAAGCAUUACCUCUCUUGAACUGUUGGUAAUACUUUGCCUAAUGCAGCCAAGAACACUAUUAACUCUUCUCCAAGGGCACUUUGCUGGCUCAUGUUCAAUUUGGUGUCCACCAGCACUUGGUGCCUGUGGCUGUUUCGCCUCGGGUGCAGCACUGUACUUCCUCUUGCUGAACUCCAUGAGGUUCUAGUCAACCCACCUCUUCAACCUCUUGAUGUCCUUCUGGAUGGCUGUGCAGCCCUCAUGAGUCAGCCACUCCCCUCUGUUUUGUGUACAGCUACUUCAUCUUCCAACCCAAUGUUUGAUUGAACGUUAUCUUCACCUUAUGUCAAAAGAACAAGUCUAUGGGAUACUGGUAGCUUUCUCCAAAAAUCUGGAAAUUGACAAGAAUUUGGUGGCACUUACAGCAAAGGAAGAUUUGCACGAGCACAUAAAUUCAAUCAGCUAUUAAGAGACUGAAUCAAAGGAUGCAUCAAAAUGAAUGUUGCAUAUGGUAAAGAAAACCUAAGAUCCUAACUUUGUCUUUGAAAAUGGCAAUUGACAGUAUGUAUAUAAAUAUAUUUUCUGGCACUUAGCUUUUCAGCUACUGCAUGUAAUAAUCAUGAAAACAUACUUCAAGAAAAAUCAAUUGUUAAAGCUGUUGCUUCUCCUCACAUUGAAUCAAAAUAAUUAACAGAAGGUAAAACAUUUCCUGUGAAAAGUAUCUUUGCAGGUAUUUUUUCUCCAGUGAUCAUGGGAGAAACAUGCAGUCUUUCAAUAAUACGUAGAUGGUAAUUCAAAAUGCACUCUUAUUUUGUACUUUACUAUUGCUGUAUUAUUUUCUGUUGCAAGCAACUCUGUACCAACAGCUCAGAGAACUAUGAUAAAUGUUGCAUGGAUUUAUGCUUUGAUUUAUCCAAAUUUUGCAAUUCUUUCUGUUCUGAUCAUGAGCCUUUGAUUUCCAUUUUCACCCUGGGGUUAGGAACACGGCUGGAGCAGGUCAGGAAGGACUGCAAAGCUGAUAUCUUAUCCUCAGGAAUGGAUGCCUCAGCAGGUGGCUAAGAAAACAGUAAUCAUUUCAUGGUGCUCCCCCAGAAUAGCUUCUUAGUCAGUGAUUGUAGUGGAGGGAUUUCACAAAGAUGUGGUGUAUGACUCCAACAGCUCAGUGCUUUCUUCAGUAAAUCAGACCAGCCACAUCUGUAUCCAUAUAAAUACUGCUUCCAAACUUCUUGUGGCAAUAUAUCCCACAAUAGUUCACUCCCAGGAGUUGUACAGGCCUCAAAUCACAGGGCUUUAACUGCCUGAAACUACUACUUUGUCUGAUCACAGAUAAAACUGUUCUUCUUUUACAGAUUUCCUGAAAGCUGUGGUGCUGGCAAGGCUCAGAUUAGUAGCUGUGUGUUGGUGAUUCCUAAAUCCCUAGGAAAGGAUUUAUAUCGCUAGGGAAUAUAUCACUCCUGUGCCUUUUAUAUUUUUAUAUACAUUAUCCUGUACUCAUUAUGUGUUAUAGUCCCAAAUGGUUUACAUUUCAAGGCAUGAAACAGAUUCAAAUGGUCUCGGUUAAAAAUAUGUCUACCAGAAAAGUAGAUUUUUUUCCUUUCCUGUUGUAUAGAAUUUUUUACACCAAAAGCUAUCAAAGACAACGAAUGAAAUAUAUUAAAUUCUGCAGUAGAGUGUAUGCGCCAUCUCAUGUUGUGCAUUGUGUGCUCUGUCACGUUGUGCUAAUGUCACGGUUUAGUUUGAGUUUUAUAUAAUACAUGUAUCGACACCAUAAUAUUUCAAUCUUAUUUCUUGUUAUCUUACUUUAUUGCCAAUAAAUUACAGGAUUUAUAAUUCCCAAA